AGUGAACGCUGGCGGUAGGCCUAACACAUGCGAGUCGAACGGCAGCACAGUAAGAGCUUGCUCUUACGGGUGGCGAGUGGCGGACGGGUGAGGAAUACAUCGGAAUCUACUUUUUCGUGGGGGAUAACGUAGGGAAACUUACGCUAAUACCGCAUACGACCUACGGGUGAAAGCAGGGGAUCUUCGGACCUUGCGCGAUUGAAUGAGCCGAUGUCGGAUUAGCUAGUUGGCGGGGUAAAGGCCCACCAAGGCGACGAUCCGUAGCUGGUCUGAGAGGAUGAUCAGCCACACUGGAACUGAGACACGGUCCAGACUCCUACGGGAGGCAGCAGUGGGGAAUAUUGGACAAUGGGCGCAAGCCUGAUCCAGCCAUACCGCGUGAGUGAAGAAGGCCUUCGGGUUGUAAAGCCCUUUUGUUGGGAAAGAAAAGCAGCAGGUUAAUACCCCGCUGUUCUGACGGUACCCAAAGAAUAAGCACCGGCUAACUUCGU
rnacentral:rRNA from 1 species